AAUCAUAGAAUGGUUUGGGUUGGAAGGGACCUUAAAGAUCAUCUAGUUCCAAACCCCCUGCCAUUGGCAGGGACACCUUCCACUAGAUCAGGUUGCUCAAAGCCCAAUCCAACCUGGCCUUGAACACUUCCAAGGAUGGGGCAUCCACAACUUCUCUGGGCAACCUGUUCCAGUGCCUUACCACCCCCACAGUGAAGAACUUCUUCCUGAUAUCUAAUCUAAAUAUACCCUCUUCCAGUUUGAAGCCAUUACCCCUUGUCCUAUCAGCACAUGCCCUUGUAAAAAUCCCUCUCUGGCUUUCCUGUAAGCCCCCUUUAGGUACUGGAAGGCUGCUAUAAGGUCUCCCUGGAGCCUUCUCUUCUCCAGGCUGAACAACCCCAACUCUUAACAUCUGAUGACAAAGAAGAAAACCCCUAACAGGAUCUUCUUUCAGAGGUAGUUCAGAUCCCAAGUCUAAUGCAUUCAAGAAAACUGCUACUCAGUUACAUUUAAUAGCACAGGAUACCAUUUACAAGAAAAAUAGAUGGAGGCUGUGGGUGGGCUAUAGCUAUGGUACAAACAUUGCUUAGUGUGCUGUGUCAGGAGAGAAGCAUUGCUCCUAGCAUAUCUCCUGUUAAACUUCACAGUUCUUCUUAGUUCUCUCUUUCAUAUUUUCAACUGCUCAAAAUGAGUCUUAACUUUGAUAAGGGGAACCAAUAAAUCCAGAGUGGACUGGACAGCACUGCAAUCUCUCUCACACUCAAUUUAUCCUUACUUUGUGACAGCAGUCAUCAUGCGGUUAGUUUCCUUUCUACUUUAAGACAGAAAGAGUGUUAAGAACCCCUUGAGAGUUCCUUAAGAGCUACAAGAUAUGAUCAUAGUCAAAGACUAGCUGUAGAAGUUGUACUGCCAAGUACAAGCCUUAUAGCUUACUGGGUUUAUAGGAGAACUAUCCCCAAGGUUAAAUGGAAUGAAGCAUUGGUUAGUUAUCUGAAAACUACUCUUGAAAUCAUCUUUAUAGAGUGAUAACUUUCAUUUCACAUACUACAAUAUUGUCACGUUUAGGUUUUACUCCAGUACAGGUAAUAUGUAACCAGGGUAUUUAUUAAAACAUUGAUGGCAGUAGCUAACCCUUUAGGAAUGUGCUACAACUGGCACAAUACUUGUAAACAUUUUUUGUUUCUUGUACAGUAACAGAAAGGGCAUUAUAGCCUAAAUAAAAACAGUGAAACCAAUAACAGGAGCUGUCAUUACAUGCUUUUCCAUUGAAACCAGGAACUGAGGGAUCAUUUAUGCUAAAGUCUAUUUUGCCUUGAAUAGGCUAGAUUGUUUUGCAGUCAUGCAAUAUGUCUUAAUCACAGGGUGAGGAAGGAAUCUUUUCCUGUGUAAUAACUGCACUUAAUUUUGCACUAAAAUUUUUCAUCCUGCUAGAUCAAGUGGUAAACCACAAUCCCCGUAAAUACUGCUUAAAUUUAAGGUCAAUUGCAGUUCAUCAUUCAACGGAGCAAAUAUGCACUUAACACCUAAUUGGGUUUGUAUCAUUACUAUUCCAUCAGCAUGUAAGUGUGGUAAUCGUUAGAGAGAAAAGUGUUUUGCACUCAAAUUGUAAACUCCUGUAACCUGCUUGCAUGGAAUUAUAUUCUUCUAACUAUGCCUGAUCAUAAAGACACCUAAUGAAAUUUUCAGCUUAGAAAUUGUUUCAGUUGCACUUUUGGUUAUGUAACAAGUACAAAGUAAAAUCACUCAUGCAUACUGAGAAAGAACUAAGUUUGCAGCUUUGGAUUGACAUGCUGUUUCAGGGCUACAGAAGUCAUACUGGCAAAAUGCAACUUGUCUACCCUUUCUGUAUCUCUCCUACCUCUUAUUACCUUAUGGUUACAACUCCUUCAACUUGUGUCCAUUUAACUUGGAAAUAGAUUAUAAAUAAAGUUAUUUACAUUUUUUGUCUGGA